UUGAAAGGGAAACGAUUGAAGUCAGUCAUACCAACGGGAAAUCAACCUUUUGAGCUCGGUCUCGUGGGUUUUGAAGAGUUUCAAAGCCUUCGGAUUCGCGAGAUUGGGAUCUCUCGGUGUACUUUCUCGUACGGUUAGUCAACAUCGGUUUUGAAUGUCAUAAAAUGACUGGAGGAAUGUAGCUUCGAUCUCGUAUUGAAGUGUUAUAGCCUUUGGUAGAUGUGAUGUUUGAGACCGAGGAUUGCAACGGAUACCCUUCAGGGCUAUUCGUCUGAUCUCUGAUACGUUGCCCUGAUGUUGAAAGCUUGCUUAUGAUGUUAGGGUAUUACGGUCAAAAGGUUAGAACGAAUUACAUUCGUUAAGGAUGUUGACGUA
rnacentral:rRNA from 1 species